rnacentral:rRNA from 1 species
UACGUAGGGCGCAAGCGUUGUCCGGAAUUAUUGGGCGUAAAGAGCUCGUAGGCGGUCUGUCGCGUCUGCCGUGAAAACUCAGGGCUUAACCCUGAGCUUGCAGUGGGUACGGGCAGACUAGAGUGCGGUAGGGGAGACUGGAAUUCCUGGUGUAGCGGUGAAAUGCGCAGAUAUCAGGAGGAACACCGGUGGCGAAGGCGGCUUGCUGGGCCUUACCUGACGCUGAGGAGCGAAAGCGUGGGGAGCGAACAGG